GGGCAUGUUUCAAAUUUGGGUUUCAUUUUCUCAUUUUCAGAUUUGUAAUCUAAGAAACAUUUGAGAGAGAAUCUUUGAACGUGAAAACCAGAGAGAGACUUGUCUUCCCUCCACCCUACCACCGCUGCUACCGAAGUGUUGUCGUACUGUCGGCGUUCGUUGGCAAAACAUAGACGGUGUCGUCUUCCCUCCACCCAACCACCCAAUGUCGACGGAGUGCUGUCGUUCGUACGCAAAACCUAGACGGUCUCGUCUUCCCUCC
rnacentral:lncRNA from 1 species